GUGUAUGUAUCUCAGUGAUAAGAGUACAUGCUUAGCAUUAGAAUGUUCAGGGUCCUGGGUUCAAUCCCCAGCACACACA
rfam:Ictidomys tridecemlineatus contig017801, whole genome shotgun sequence.